rnacentral:rRNA from 1 species
ACGUAGGAGGCAAACGUUAUCCGGAUUUACUGGGCGUAAAGCGCGUGUAGGUGGUUUGGUAAGUAGAGCGUGAAAGCUCCUGGCUCAACUGGGAGAGGUCGUUCGAAACUGCCGGACUAGAGGGUGGGAGAGGGAAGGGGAAUUCCGGGUGUAGCGGUGGAAUGCGAAGAUCUCCGGAGGACCACCAGUGGCGAAGGCGGCUUACUGGAACACACCUGACAGUCAGACGCGAAAGCUAGGGUAGCAAACGG